rnacentral:rRNA from 1 species
UAGGGAAUUUUCGUCAAUGGGGGGAACCCUGAACGAGCAAUGCCGCGUGAGUGAAGAAGGUCUUCGGAUCGUAAAGCUCUGUUGUAAGAGAAAAACGGAUUAUGUAGGGAAUGACAUGAUAGUGAUGGUAUCUUACCAGAAAGCCACGGCUAACUACGUGCCAGCAGCCGCGGUAAUACGUAGGUGGCAAGCGUUAUCCGGAAUGAUUGGGCGUAAAGGGUGCGUAGGUGGCACGAUAAGUCUGAAGUAAAAGGCAACAGCUCAACUGUUGUAUGCUUUGGAAACUGUCGAACUAGAGUGCAGAAGAGGGCGAUGGAAUUCCAUGUGUAGCGGUAAAAUGCGUAGAUAUAUGGAGGAACACCAGUGGCGAAGGCGGUCGCCUGGUCUGUAACUGACACUGAUGCACGAAAGCGUGGGGAGCAAAUAGGAUUAGAUACC